rnacentral:rRNA from 1 species
AGUGAACGCUGGCGGUAGGCCUAACACAUGCAAGUCGAACGGCAGCACAGUAAGAGCUUGCUCUUACGGGUGGCGAGUGGCGGACGGGUGAGGAAUACAUCGGAAUCUACUUUUUCGUGGGGGAUAACGUAGGGAAACUUACGCUAAUACCGCAUACGACCUACGGGUGAAAGCAGGGGAUCUUCGGACCUUGCGCGAUUGAAUGAGCCGAUGUCGGAUUAGCUAGUUGGCGGGGUAAAGGCCCACCAAGGCGACGAUCCGUAGCUGGUCUGAGAGGAUGAACGGCCACCCUGGAACUGAAACACGGCCCAGACUCCUAGGGGGGGCAGCGGUGGGGAAUAUUGGACAAUGGGCGAAAGCCUGAUCCCGCCAUACCGGGUGGGGGAAGAAGGCCUUGGGGUUGGAAAGCCCUUUUUUUGGGAAAAAAAAACAGGAGGUUAAAACCCCGCUUUUCUGAGGGAACCCAAAAAAAAAGCCCCGGCUAACUUGGU